GCUGGGAUAGCUCAGUUGGUAGAGCAUGAGGCGCUUGAUCUCAGGGUCGUGGGUUCGAGCCCCGUGUUGGGCA